GAUGAACGCUAGCGACAGGCCUAACACAUGCAAGUCGAGGGGCAGCACAUGAGUAGCAAUACGAUGGUGGCGACCGGCGCACGGGUGAGUAACACGUAUGCAACCUGCCUUCUACUAUGGGAUAACCCGUUGAAAGACGGACUAAUACCGUAUAAUACAGGGGCUCCGCAUGGAGAUAUUUGUUAAAGAUUUAUCGGUAGAAGAUGGGCAUGCGUAUGAUUAGAUAGUUGGUGAGGUAACGGCUCACCAAGUCAACGAACAUUAGGGGUUCUGAGAGGAAGGUCCCCCACACUGGUACUGAGACACGGACCAGACUCCUACGGGAGGCAGCAGGGAGGAAUAUUGGUCAAUGGACGAGAGUCUGAACCAGCCAAGUCGCGUGAAGGAAGACGGUUCUAUGAAUUGUAAACUUCUUUUGUGCAGGAAUAAAGUGGGUUACGUGUAACCUUUUGUAUGUACUGUACGAAUAAGGAUCGGCUAACUCCGUGCCAGCAGCCGCCGCGGUAA
rnacentral:rRNA from 1 species